rnacentral:ncRNA from 1 species
GGAAGCCGUAAACGGGUGGGCAGACCGAAAGGAAGCCCGACGCUGCUGUUAUGCGUGGUUAGCCCUGCCUACGGCUUCCUU